AUGCUACACCAUUGCCAACAAGUACAUGCAACCAUUCCUUACGUUACACCUUUUCCUGCUACAUACAACUUGUCUUUUACUUCGGUUGCAUUCUAUUGCAAUGAAAUGGAUUUAUGCUCUGCAAUGACAUGGUUCUAUAAAUCCGAUCAUUCUGCUGGGGUGAUAUAUGACCUUGAGGUUCUGAAUCCAUGGACACCACCAUUGUACUUGAGUAUUAUGGCGCUCAGUUCCUUCAGAGGUAACAUUUGCAUAGCAACCUCGGACUAUUAUUGGAAUAAUCAGUGUUGUUUCCAGCAUGUCCAAUGGAAAAUUAAUUGGUUUGCCCAGCCACUGUUUCCAAAAUCAGUGCAACUUUCUCUGUCGCAAUGGACGCAAUGGACGAUUGCUUGGUCGACCAGUGAUGCAUUAUUAAAGUAUGCCUUUCUGUUUUGCACUCCUGAAGGGGUUCCCUUUUAUGCUUCAAAACAAAUUCAGUGGGAAAAUGUUGGUGAGAUUUUCAGGAAAUUGUUGCUUUCCAGCAUGGGUGAGGAAAUCCUUCUAGCCAACUCAAUUGUCGUCUGCUAUAGAAUUGUUGAUGUUGCUGUUUGGUCCAAGUUUGCUACAGGAUUCAAACAAAUAGAGGCAUAUUUUGUUGAGCACUGCAUGACACAGUGCAGAUAUGUGGGCUUUUCUCAUAAUGCCACUCUAGCACAUUUGCAGAUAUGGCAAGCUGCUUUUGUUGCUCUGUUCAGUUCCAAUGAGGCAAUGGAUCAAUCGUGGGUUUCCUAUUGUCAGAGAGUUUAA
rnacentral:rRNA from 1 species